rnacentral:rRNA from 1 species
UACAGAGGUCUCGAGCGUUGUUCGGAUUCAUUGGGCGUAAAGGGUGCGUAGGUGGCGCUGUAAGUCGGGUGUGAAAUCCUGAGGCUUAACCUCGGAACUGCAUUCGAUACUGCGGCGCUUGAGGACUGGAGAGGAGACUGGAAUUCAUGGUGUAGCAGUGAAAUGCGUAGAGAUCAUGAGGAAGACCAGUGGCGAAGGCGACAUCCUGGACCGGUAUUGACGCUGAGGCGCGAAAGCCAGGGGAGCAAACGGG